GACGAACGCUGGCGGCGUGCCUAAUACAUGCAAGUCGAACGAGUGGCGGACGGGUGAGUAAUGUCUGGGAAACUGCCUGAUGGAGGGGGAUAACUACUGGAAACGGUAGCUAAUACCGCAUACCAUCAGAUGUGCCCAGAUGGGAUUAGCUUGUUGGUGGGGUAACGGCUCACCAAGGCGACGAUCCCUAGCUGGUCUGAGAGGAUGACCAGCCAAACUGGAACGUAGACACGGUCCAGACGCCUACGGGAGGCAGCAGUGGGGAAUAUUGCACAAAGGGCGGAAGCCUGAUGCAGCCAUGCCGCGUGUAUGAAGAAGGCCCUCGGGUUGUAAAGUACUUUCAUCGGGGAGGCGUUACCCGCAGAAGAAGCACCGGCUAACUCCGUGCCAGCAGCCGCGGUAAUAC
rnacentral:rRNA from 1 species